GGCGGACGGGUGAGUAAUGCCUAGGGAUCUGCCCAGUCGAGGGGGAUAACAGUUGGAAACGACUGCUAAUACCGCAUACGCCCUACGGGGGAAAGGAGGGGACCUUCGGGCCUUCCGCGAUUGGAUGAACCUAGGUGGGAUUAGCUAGUUGGUGAGGUAAUGGCUCACCAAGGCGACGAUCCCUAGCUGUUCUGAGAGGAUGAUCAGCCACACUGGGACUGAGACACGGCCCAGACUCCUACGGGAGGCAGCAGUGGGGAAUAUUGCACAAUGGGGGAAACCCUGAUGCAGCCAUGCCGCGUGUGUGAAGAAGGCCUUCGGGUUGUAAAGCACUUUCAGUAGGGAGGAAAGGGUAAGGUUUAAUACGCCUUAUCUGUGACGUUACCUACAGAAGAAGGACCGGCUAACUCCGUGCCAGCAGCCGCGGUAAUACGGAGGGUCCGAGCGUUAAUCGGAAUUACUGGGCGUAAAGCGUGCGCAGGCGGUUUGUUAAGCGAG
rnacentral:rRNA from 1 species